rnacentral:rRNA from 1 species
GUCGGGAAUUUUGGGCAAUGGGCGAAAGCCUGACCCAGCGACGCCGCGUGAGGGAUGAAGUAUUUCGGUAUGUAAACCUCGAAAGAAUGGGAAGAAUAAAUGACGGUACCAUUUAUAAGCUCCGGCUAACUACGUGCCAGCAGCCGCGGUAAUACGUAGGGAGCAAGCGUUGUUCGGAUUUACUGGGCGUAAAGGGCGCGUAGGCGGCGCGGUAAGUCACUUGUGAAAUCUCUGAGCUUAACUCAGAACGGCCAAGUGAUACUGCUGGGCUAGAGUGCGGAAGAGGCAACCGGAAUUCUGGGUGUAGCGGUGAAAUGCGUAGAUAUCAAGAGGAACACCUGAGGCGAAGGCGGGUUGCUGGGCCGACACUGACGCUGAUGCGCGAAAGCCAGGGGAGCAAACG